UCAGUUGGUUAGAGCGCGCGCUUGAUAAGCGUGAGGUCGGAAGUUCAAGUCUUCCCAGGCCCACCAUUUUGAUCGAGUGCGGAGCAUUCGUCUUCUGGUACGGGGCCAUAGCUCAGCUGGGAGAGCGCGUGCUUUGCAAGCAUGAGGUCGUCGGUUCGAUCCCGUCUGGCUCCACCAGAUGGAAUUGAAGCUCGAUAAUGCCUCGUUCAUAUCGUCCGCGAAACAUCACUUCGCACUCAUUGGUCCGGAUGGACGGUGACGUGCGUGUUUUCUGACAUCGUAAAGAGGAGAUCGAUCCGAGUUUGGAUCAAGCGAAGCAAUUCGCCUGAGCCAUUCAUUAUCUCCGGGAUCAUUUCGGCGCUCGCUUCCAAUCGCAAGAUUGGAUGCGGGUUGUAAAUGAUCCCUUUUAGCGAAGCUUGACCGCCUCGCUAUCGGGCCGAUCUUACGAAGCAAGCUGGUCUUUCUAGUCAAUGUCCGGCUGUGCAAUCGCAUUCAUCGAGGAUGCGUGCCUUCAAUGGCAGUUGUGCAGACAACAUUCUGCCGAGUGUGUGGACAUUGAUAAUGAGAGCAAUCAAGUGCCUUAAGGGUGUUCGGUGGAUGCCUUGGCGCUGAGAGGCGAUGAAGGACGUGCUACGCUGCGAUAAGCCGUGGGGAGCUGCGAAGAAGCUUUGAUGGCGAUGAAGGACGUGCUACGCUGCGAUAAG
rnacentral:misc_RNA from 1 species